rnacentral:rRNA from 1 species
GGGGAGCUGGGCAAGGGUGUGUGGGGGUAUUGGGAGCUGGGCGCGUGGAAGCCGCUGGGGAUCAGCGGCCGGCAGCGCGCGCGGCUCCGCAAGGAGGUGCUCCUCGCCGGCGAGGACUGGGCCUACGACCCGCCCCGCGGCAAGAUGCGCACCAAGCGCAAGGGCCACAAGGUCGACCGCAUCGCCGCCGAGAAGCGUGGCAACACCGUUGAGCCGAUGAAGAAGAUGCCCUAGAUGCUCCUCGACUACAAGGUUCGCCUCCUUUGGCUCAUCCUUUUGUGCUUCAUGUUGUUUCAGUUUGCCAUCCAGUGUGCCUGCACAUUGCAAUUGUGUAGUAAUCCUUGUUGUGUAUAUCAAUGCCGUGCCGAGUAA